GCCGAGCCUUGUAACGUGGGCUUCUGACCUAAGUGGGGGCAUCAAAGUGGGGGAAUGUUGGGUUGUUCGUGAUGGCUGGGCUUGGUGAGCUAAUCUCCGGCCUGCCCUAUCCAAGCACAGAGGUGAGUCACGUGGUCCAAACAAAAGUAUGGGCUACUUGGCUCUUAGAGUGGGGUGGACUGCGUGAGGCUGGUUUCACAGAGCAACGAAUAGCUCCCGCUCUGUGCAGUGGAAGAAUAACGGGCUGGUGCUCUCCAAGUCCAACUAAAACCGGAUGGGCUGCCUAAUUAAACCACCACUUUU
rnacentral:SRP_RNA from 1 species